rnacentral:rRNA from 1 species
UGGGGAAUAUUGCACAAUGGGCGCAAGCCUGAUGCAGCCAUGCCGCGUGUAUGAAGAAGGCCUUCGGGUUGUAAAGUACUUUCAGCGGGGAGGAAGGUGUCAAGGUUAAUAACCUUGGCAAUUGACGUUACCGACAGAAGAAGCACCGGCUAACUCCGUGCCAGCAGCCGCGGUAAUACGGAGGGUGCAAGCGUUAAUCGGAAUCACUGGGCGUAAAGCGCACGCAGGCGGUCUGUCAAGUCGGAUGUGAAAUCCCCGGGGUCAACCUGGGAACUGCAUUCGAAACUGGCAGGCUAGUGUCUUGUAGAGGGGGGUAGAAUUCCAGGUGUAGCGGUGAAGUGCGUAGAGAUCUGGAGGAAUACCGGUGGCGAAGGCGGCCGCCUGGACAAAGACUGACGCUCAGGUGCGAAAGCGUGGGGAGCAAACAGG